rnacentral:rRNA from 1 species
CGACUUAUAUUCUGUAGCAAGGUUAACCGUAUAGGGGAGCCGCAGGGAAACCGAGUCUUAACUGGGCGUUAAGUUGCAGGGUAUAGACCCGAAACCCGGUGAUCUAGCCAUGGGCAGGUUGAAGGUUGGGUAACACUAACUGGAGGACCGAACCGACUAAUGUUGAAAAAUUAGCGGAUGACUUGUGGCUGGGGGUGAAAGGCCAAUCAAACCGGGAGAUAGCUGGUUCUCCCCGAAAGCUAUUUAGGUAGCGCCUCGUGAACUCAUCUUCGGGGGUAGAGCACUGUUUCGGCUAGGGGGUCAUCCCGACUUACCAACCCGAUGCAAACUACGAAUACCGAAGAAUGUUAUCACGGGAGACACACGGCGGGUGCUAACGUCCGUCGUGAAGAGGGAAACAACCCAGACCGCCAGCUAAGGUCCCAAAGUCAUGGUUAAGUGGGAAACGAUGUGGGAAGGCACAGACAGCCAGGAUGUUGGCUUAGAAGCAGCCAUCAUUUAAAGAAAGCGUAAUAGCUCACUGGUCGAGUCGGCCUGCGCGGAAGAUGUAACGGGGCUAAACCAUGCACCGAAGCUGCGGCAGCGACACUAUGUGUUGUUGGGUAGGGGAGCGUUCUGUAAGCCUGCGAAGGUGACCUGUGAGGGUUGCUGGAGGUAUCAGAAGUGCGAAUG